UCCCAACAUACCAAAAAUACAAUACAGCUUGAGAACAAUAUUAUAAAAAUAUAAUUUUUCAACAAUGCUUGAGAAACACUUAUGUUCCACAAACAUUUCUCAAGUCUGUCCCUUGUUGACAAAUUAGUUUUGAUUUUUUGUGAAAAUUGUCAGCAAGAAAUUAUUUUCUUUGGCAAAAAACAAAAUUACGCGAAUUUAGGACCCAUUUGUGGACCGAACCCUUAAGAUUGGAAGCAUCAAAAAAGUUGCAGGAAUUCAAUAAAUGUGUAGUCUUAGUGGAAGAGAUGCAGAAGUUCAAAUAAGGGAGAAGAAAGCGUCAGGGUAUCAAGGCCACAUGCGGCAGUGACUACUGGGAUGUCCAUCAAGAAAAAACGUUAAAAAUGAUUAAAAACUAAAAAAAAUAAUAUUUUAUACUAUUACAAAAAUAAGCUUAUUAUAAUA